GCCUCCUUAGCUCAGUGGUAGAGCAACGCUCUUGUAAAGCGUAGGUCGUCAGUUCAAUCCUGACAGGGGGCUCCG
rnacentral:tRNA from 1 species